rnacentral:rRNA from 1 species
UGGGGAAUUUUGGACAAUGGGCGCAAGCCUGAUCCAGCAAUGCCGCGUGUGUGAAGAAGGCCUUCGGGUUGUAAAGCACUUUUGUCCGGAAAGAAAUCCGUCUGGCUAAUACCCGGACGGGAUGACGGUACCGGAAGAAUAAGCACCGGCUAACUACGUGCCAGCAGCCGCGGUAAUACGUAGGGUGCGAGCGUUAAUCGGAACUACUGGGCGUAAAGCGUGCGCAGGCGGCUUUGCAAGACAGAUGUGAAAUCCCCGGGCUCAACCUGGGAACUGCAUUUGGGACUGCAAGGCUAGAGUUCGUCAGAGGGAGGUGGAAUUCCGCGUGUAGCAGUGAAAUGCGUAGAGAUGCAGAGUAACACCGAUGGCGAAGGCAGCCUCCUGGGAUGACACUGACGCUCAUGCACGAAAGCGUGGGGAGCAAACA